CCUACGGGAGGCUGCAGUGAGGAAUAUUGGUCAAUGGCCGGAAGGCUGAACCAGCCAAGCCGCGUGAAGGACGAAGGUGCCAAGCAUUUUAAACUUCUUUUGUCAAGGGACACAAUCAGGCUCGAGAGCCUGACCGAGGGUACUUGAAGACAAAGCAUCGGCUAACUCCGUGCCAACAGCCGCGGUAAUACGGAGGAUGCGAGCGUUAUCCGGAUUUAUUGGGGUAAAGGGGUGCGUAGGGGGGCGGUUAAGUCAGCGGUAAAAGCCCGGGGCUAAACCCCGGCGAGCCGUUGAAACUGGGUGUCUUGAGAUGUCGAGAGGUAUGCGGAAUGCGCAGUGUAGCGGUGAAAUGCUUAGAUAUUGCGCAGAACUCCGAUUGCGAAGGCAGCAGACCGGCGGGGAUCUGACGCUGAGGCACGAAAGCGUGGGGAGCGAACAGGAUUAGAUACCCUAGUAGUC
rnacentral:rRNA from 1 species